UUAAAACACCAGUUCUCGUUUAAUCACGGAAGUUAAGCAAUGUCGAUUCUGGUUAGUAACUAGAUGGGUGACGAAUUGGGAAGACCCGGUACUGUAAG